rnacentral:rRNA from 1 species
CACGUAGGCGGCUUUCUAAGUCAGGGGUGAAAUCCUGGAGCUCAACUCCAGAACUGCCUUUGAUACUGGAGAGCUUGAGUCCGGGAGAGGUGAGUGGAACUCCGAGUGUAGAGGUGAAAUUCGUAGAUAUUCGGAAGAACACCAGUGGCGAAGGCGGCUCACUGGCCCGGUACUGACGCUGAGGUGCGAAAGCGUGGGAGCAAACA